CUGUAUUCAUAAUGUGUUUGCAGGAGUAUCCAAAUGAAAUAUUAAUUCUCUCUUUCUCUUUUGUUCUUCUUGUCCUCAGGCUGAACUGAUAGGCAGAUGGCUACAGUCUCUACACGAUUAGUGUCUGGGAUGGAUGAGUGAAAGUGGCUUCUCUCAAACAUGUCGCAUGGAAGGAAAACCACUAACAUACAAGACGUCUCCUGGUUAUGGGUGUGUGUUGACAAGAACCGAAGGGAAAAGACAAAGAGGCCGUGAGGAAGUUGUAAAACAGCCUGACGUGAACAUUAAGUCGCAGUGCAUCUGCCUGAGGACGGGCCUCCGCGUCUGCCACUGCACCAAACCGCUUCAGCGAGCAGAGCGCACAUGAUGACACAACUGUGCCAGGAGCUGUUUACUAAAGAAAACAUGAAUAAUGACAGGAACCGUCGAGGAAUCGUCCAGAGUGCAUGGGAAACAAGCAAGUGGGACAAAUUCAGCAGGAAAAGGUAGGGACAGAGGGAUGAUAAUUGGUGGAGGAGUGAAAGAAAAGCAGAAGUCAGUCACCUGACCUUUCUCUGACUUUGUAAUGAGCAGGUUGUCCCUGAGGAUUGGCCUCGUCACCCUAUUGACUAUGCCAGGAUCCGCAUCUCCCACAAUCCUCUGGCUCUCCUCUGGUGGUGUCUUUCUUUAGCCCCGUUUUUGGAUGUUGGCAGGCAUGUAUCUUUUUGUUGGCAUUGCGACGCUGCAGCUGCGUGCCAGCUGUUUACGCCUCUUUGUCUUUCAGUUACACUGUGUUCCUUCUUCUCUUCCUCCUCUAGACACUGAUGAUGAACUGCUACAACUACUUGAACUACACUGGCACCCUCCCCCUUCCCAGAGUCUCUCCUCUUUUUCUCUUUGACAUGAAUUCCUGUGUGUUUUAAAUAAUUUCACUGCAUUUUCACUUGGAUCCAUCUCUAGACUUUUGGCAGCAGACACUUGCAGAAAUCAUAGUUAAUGCUCUUAACAUCAGCCGAUUAUCUGACUAUUAAUUGCAUUAGUUGCUAUUCUAAGAUCUUGAAUGAGCCCUGAUGUUAAUUAUAUUUUGGAUGCAUUUGAAUGUAGUGCCCAGGACUUUAUGUGAAAAAAGCCUCUAAAGAUUUAGAGAGAGUCAGAAAACAAAAAGCAGUAGCGAUUCUCGGCAGUGAACUGCCAAAAUAUGUCAGGAUUUGCAACUGACUUUGAAAACUUUUGAUCUGCUCAAAAAUUCUCAGAAGUGUGAAACUUAAAAUUGUGUUUUAGAUUUUGUCACAUUGCACGCCACGCUGGUUCAUUGUUUAAAUCAAAUCAGUAUGAAUCUGUCAAAUGAAUCUGUCAAAAAGUGAUGAUGCUUUUUUUUUUCUCGCAGUGCUCCAAAACAUGCAGUUUCCAGCUGAAAUGACCACUAUGCUCAUCAUUCAACAGUCAAUACAUAGUGAAUGACACUACCACAAAACUAAAAAUAAAUAAAUAAAUAAAUAAAUAAAUAAAUAUGGA
ensembl:lncRNA